AUGAUAAAGUGUAGUUCAAAGGUAGAAUACUGGUUUUGGGUUCCAGUGGCUGUAGGUUCGAUUCCUAUCACUCAUA